rnacentral:rRNA from 1 species
CCUACGGGGGGCAGCAGUGGGGAAUAUUGGACAAUGGGGGCAACCCUGAUCCAGCCAUGCCGCGUGUGUGAAGAAGGCCCUCGGGUUGUAAAGCACUUUCAGUGAGGAAGAACGCCUGGUGGUUAAUACCCAUCAGGAAAGACAUCACUCACAGAAGAAGCACCGGCUAACUCCGUGCCAGCAGCCGCGGUAAUACGGAGGGUGCGAGCGUUAAUCGGAAUUACUGGGCGUAAAGCGCGCGUAGGUGGCUUGAUAAGCCGGUUGUGAAAGCCCCGGGCUCAACCUGGGAACGGCAUCCGGAACUGUCAAGCUAGAGUGCAGGAGAGGAAGGUAGAAUUCCCGGUGUAGCGGUGAAAUGCGUAGAGAUCGGGAGGAAUACCAGUGGCGAAGGCGGCCUUCUGGACUGACACUGACACUGAGGUGCGAAAGCGUGGGUAGCAAACAGGAUUAGAUACCCGAGUAGUC